rnacentral:rRNA from 1 species
GAUGAACGCUGGCGGCGUGCCUAAUACAUGCAAGUCGAGCGAACGGACGAUAAGCUUGCUCCUCUGAUGUUAGCGGCGGACGGGUGAGUAACACGUGGAUAACCUACCUAUAAGACUGGGAUAACUUCGGGAAACCGGAGCUAAUACUGGCUCAUAUGUUGUACCGCAUGGUUCAAAAGUGAUUGACGGUUUUGCUGUCACUUAUAGCUGGAUCCGCGCUGCAUUAGCUAGUUGGUAAGGUAACGGCUUACCAAGGCAACGAUGCGUAGCCGACCUGAGAGGGUGAUCAGCCACACUGGAACUGAGACACGGUCCAGACUCCUACGGGAGGCAGCAGUAGGGAAUAUUCGGCAAUGGGCGAAAGCCUGACGGAGCAACGCCGCGUGAGUGAUGAAGGUCUUCGGGUCGUAAAGCUCUGUUAUUAGGGAAGAACAGCUGUGUAAGAAAAUGUGCCUGUCUUGACGGUACCUAAUCAGAAAGCAACGGCUAACUACGUG